rnacentral:rRNA from 1 species
CCCUUAGAUGUUCUGGGCCGCACGCGCGCUACACUGACGAAUGCAACGAGCUUAUAACCUUGGCCGAAAGGUCUGGGUAAUCUCCAAAUUUCGUCGUGAUGGGGAUAGAUUAUUGCAAUUAUUAAUCUUCAACGUGGAAUGCCUAGUAAGCGCAAGUCAUCAGCUUGCGUUGAUUACGUCCCUGCCCUUUGUACACACCGCCCGUCGCUCCUACCGAUUGAAUGGUCCGGUGAAGCGUUCGGACCGUGGCCUUUGGACGGUUCGCCGUCUGUUGGCUGCGGGAAGUUCGUUAAACCUUAUCAUUUAGAGGAAGGAGAAGUCGUAACA